AAGAAGGGGGCGUGGCAUCGAGCGGAGUCCUUCGGAUUCUUUUCCCAUAUGGGUUAUUACAGAAUAUUGAGGACAGUUCCCUGUUCUAUACAGGCAUCAUGGCUGUGAUGCUGAUCGUGCCUUUGUCCAGGAACAUGGGACAGGUGGAAUCGCUGAGAAUGAAAGGCAAAGACUGUUCCAGACCCAAAGCUGAAAGUCAUCCCAACAAAGAAUCUUUUAUAGAGCAUGUAGUCCGAUGAGACUAUAAGAGAUGGGGGAGCCCCAAGAGCAAUGGCCUUAGCGUGUUUCUUUGGUUCUGCCUGACUUCAGGCUUCCAUCUUGAUUUCAUCAUUGCAUUUUCAUGUGUGAAAGGAAGAUGGUUGAAGGUUGAUUGAAGCUACUAGUUCUUUAACUUCAUUCCCCUCUUUCAUCCCCUCCUCCUCCACUCAUUGAGAAGGCAAAGUAGAGACGGUCUCAAGACUCUUCUCACCAGUCACUUCCUCCCAGCAGCCUUCCUAUGUCUUUCACCCGGUGGGAAUCAUGGGGCCUCCCACGUACCUGCAUAGUAUCCUCUAAACUUUGUUGGGACUCCAACUGCACUGGAUUGUGAUGUCGAUUUAAUUGUCUACGUGCUUCACUAUGUCAUUCUUCCGAGGACAGAAGACAGUCCUAUUUUCUCUUUAUACAUAGGUCCCAGCACAGAGCACAUGAUAUUGACUAAAUUAAAACACUGAAUACCAGAAACAAACGACCAACCAAAACCCCAUAUCGAAUAAGUGACAGGAGUGAUCAUAUGUUUACAAAGAUGGCUGUGAUAAUUUUUCCCACAUUUAUAACUGUGUCCCUUUGCAAAGUGAUUUUGUAGCUCCCAUCAAGGAGUGGGAGUUAUUCCUUCACUCCUUGAAUCUGGUCUUCGUCGAUGAGACAUUAGCAAAUAUGACGCAAGCAGAGACUUGAAAAGUGCUUGUGCGAAAGGGCUUACCCACUUUUGGCUGUGGUUGUCACCCUGAGACCAAGAUUUGAACAAGCCUGAGCUAGCUGAAUGAAGAGGCCAUAUGCAAGAGAGCUGAGGAUGCCCACCAGCAGCCUGCCUCUGUCCUAUUGGCCAAGUGCCAGAUAUGUGAGUGAGUCCAUCAGAGACCUUUCAGUCCUAGUAAGACCUCAGUUGACUACAGAUAGAUGAUUGACUCCAGGCAAGGCCAACCAAAGAACCAUCCAGAUGACACAAUCCCAAGUUCCUGACCCACAGAAUUAUGAACAAACCAGUAAGUUUAGGAGUUCCCGUUAUGGCUCAGUGGUUAAUGAAUCCAACCAAGAUCUAUGAGGAUGUGGGUUCGAUCCCUGUCCUCGCUCAGUGGGUUAAGGAUCUGAUGUUGCCACGAGCGCCAUGUAGGUUGCAGAGGUGGCUCGGAUCCCUUGUUGCUGUGGCUGUGGUGUAGGCCAGCAGUUACAGCUCCAGUUUGACCCCUAGCCUGGGGGGUUCCAUAUGCCUCAGGUGCGGACCUAAAAAG
rnacentral:lncRNA from 1 species